rnacentral:miRNA from 1 species
AUGUCUGUCUGUGUGAGUGUCAGUAUGUCUGCCAGUAUAUAUUUAAGUGUCAGUGUAUACACUGACACAUAUACCGACACACAAAUAUAUACUGGCAGACAUAUUGACACACACAUA